GAGGGGUCGUCUCAUCUGGUAUUCACCUUCCUGCAACAGUUUUGUCUACAGCCCCAGGAAAGCUGCAAACUGCACAGAGGGGAAGGUCUUAAUCACCUAUUGAUAUGUUCCUCUGAUGGCAGCCGUCAUAAAGUGGAGCUUUUUAAAGGGAAUGGUGCCUGUUUGCUGCAAGGAGAUGCUGUGAGGUUUCAGUGGUCGAUGUCUCCAGAGACUUCCUUGGUGGAAGGCUGUUGGCACUGGCAAUCCAGCUUACUCACGGAGCUGAAGUAUGCAGAAAGGUUUUGGGGAGGAUGUUCUGUGUCACAUCUCCUGCUUAGACUUCAAGACGGUUGCAGAGUUGAAAAGACAUUCCGUCUGCUCCGAACGCUGAUCUCUUAUUGAUCAUGCUUGGGAAAGACUCCCUAAGGCAGCUUGUUAGGUAUGAUUUACAUUGUUUUCUCUCAUCUGCAUGCUUUGCGUUUAGUCAUUUGCCUUCUUCCUGCUUUGAUGUUGUUGAUUGCAGUGGCUUAUUUGUGUUUAAAUUUUGACUGUACCCUAAUGUUAGGACAAAAAACAGUAGUCAGAUGAGACAUUUUAAAAUAAUGAAUUGUGUGCAUGUAUGUGUAUCUAGAUAUCUGUGUGUCAGAAUAUCAGUAACCUGGCCCAUGGCAAAUGGAGAUUGAAACAUUAAAAGCGCUCUUCUAGCUGAGCCAUUUUUACAGACUCUGUUGACUCGGUGAUAUACAAGUGUUUCAGUCUUCAAUACGAUGACCCACUUCUUUGCACCUAUAAUCCUUGGCAGAGGGAAGUGGUGACUUGACCCAAGUCACUAGCGGAGCCUCUGACAGGGCAUGAGCUUGCCUUUGGCUACUCCAAGUCCUGUCCUCACACCCUACUCCUGGGCUUUCUCCCCUGCUUUCAUCUGACCUGCACACGUUCCUCCUCCACGGCUGUGAGCAAGUGCGAGCAUCUCAAUGAAACUUUCCUUGCAUAGCUAAAUUGAAGUCUGCAGCAGCAGCACUGCUGCUUGCUUCUGCUACCAUUUUUGAUCUUGCAGGAGAUGGUAAAAUGCUUGCAUGCAUACAUGUAAGCUGCUUGCAGUUUAGUUGCCUGUUCUGGUGAAUAAGCCACAUAUUCUGCUUGUGGUCCAUCUUUUUAAGAGGGUGUGCGUAGCAGACAAAUGAAGGCACUGAAGCAUGGGUGCCAUUAGCAAUGCUUCCCCUCCGCUUGCCCCCCCAAAAAAGAAAAAAAAAAUUCCAAAAGAUAAAGCAAGGCAAAAAGCCCCUGGUUUGGAAAAUAUUUCCUAACCACCUUAUCUGAGCUGCAUAUUAGAGAAGCUAGUCCUUUUAAAAUUCCUCACAAGUCUUUCUAUCCUCAUAAGAACCUUGAACUUUACACACCUCUCAUGACUAGUCCUCCAACAAAUUAUACUACCUGCAUAAGUUUUUUUUAAUACAUGAUUCUUUUAUAGGAGGUUCUUUGUACACUGAUGGCAUAACAGAGCCGAUGAGUAAUUUGAUUUACAUGAAAUAAAAUGGGGAAAAUUGCAUGAGUAAGAAGAGCU
rnacentral:lncRNA from 1 species